AUGUAUGCAAUACUUACAGAGAUAAACAGCUGGCUGCAUGAACUGAAAGUUUCAGAAUAUCAUUGUUUUUAUCUUUCAGAAAUGACUUGGAUUUCUGGACAUGGAUUUCUGAAAUCUGUCUGGGAGAAACUGCUAGUAAAUUUCACAAAAAAACAUAUUAAUUAAUCAAAGUACAAAUAUUGAAGUAGUAUUUUCUUUUAAAAACAUACUCCAAUAAUCUUUGUUUAUUUUCAACAGAAACUCUGCAUUGUUCCCAUCUCUGUGUGUAUAAUGUGUGUGAUUCGGUGUUUGAAGAUUGUCUUUGUGUCGGGCCGUCGUGUUUGUGUCCGCAUGUCCACACUAAAGAGGACAGACAAGUGCAGACUGAACAUGUCACGGCGUAUUUGAGUCACGCUGGCCAACUUAGUCACCACUGGAAAUGAAUAUAGACUCAUGUAGAGCACCACACCUCCACACACACACACACACACACACACACACGUACAAGUCUACCUUUAUUAUAUAGUGUACUUUAACAAUGCAGUAUUGUGUACAAAGCUAUUACAGUUAUAUAGUGCUUUUAACAAUGCAGAUUGUGUCAAAGCAUUUACAGUAUUAAAUAAGAAAAUAGUGUCAAUAAUGCAGAAGGACAAUAGUAAACACUCAAUUUUCAGUUAAAGGCAGAAUUCAGUGAUGUCAUCAUCCAGCUCAGUUCAGUUUAAAUAGUAUCUGUGCAAUCAAGUCAACGAUAUCGCUGGAUAUUAAGUGUCCCCAACUAAUCAAGCCAGAGGAACCAAAACUCCAUCGGUGACAGAAUGGAGAAAAAACCUUGGGAGAAACCAGGCUCAGUCGGGGGGGCAGUUCUCCUCUGACCAGACGAAACCAGCAGUUCAGUUCCAGGCUGCAGCAAAGUCAGAUUGUGCAGAAGAAUCAUCUGUUUCCUGUGGUCUUGUCCCGGUGGUCCUCUGAGACAAGGUCUUUACAGGGGAUCUGUCUCUGGGGCUCUAGUUGUCCUGGUCUCCGCUGUCUUUCAGGGCUGUAGAGGUCCUUUCUAGGUGCUGAUCCACCAUCUGGUCUGGAUACGUACUGGAUCUGGUGGCUACGGUGACCUCGGAAUAAGAGAGAAACAGACUAAUAUUAGCGUAGAUGCCAUUCUUCUAACGAUGUAGCAAGUACAUCGGGUGUUAUGGGAAGUGUUCCCGUUUCCGGUUUACCUAAUUAAUGCAGCCUAAAAAUCCUUUAACGCAGUUCUCCUCUGACCAGACGAAACCAGCAGUUCAGUUCCAGGCUGCAGCAAAGUCAGAUUGUGCAGAAGAAUCAUCUGUUUCCUGUGGUCUUGUCCCGGUGGUCCUCUGAGACAAGGUCUUUACAGGGGAUCUGUCUCUGGGGCUCUAGUCCUGGUCUCCACUGUCUUUCAGGGCUGUAGAGGUCCUUUCUAGGUGCUGAUCCACCAUCUGAUCUGGAUACGUACUGGAUCUGGUGGCUACGGUGACCUCGGAAUAAGAGAGAAACAGACUAAUAUGAGCGUAGAUGCCAUUCUUCUAAUGAUGUAGCAAGUACAUCGGGUGUUAUGGGAAGUGUUCCUGGUUCCAGUUGACCUAAGAGCUGGAUAUGUACUGGAUCCGGGUGACUUCUUUAAUCUAGAUUUAAACUGCAAGAGUGUGUCUGCCUCCCGAACAAUGUUAGGUAGGUUAUUCCAGAGUUUGGGCGCUAAAUAGGAAAAGGAUCUGCCGCCCGCAGUUGACUUUGAUAUUCUAGGUAUUAUCAAAUUGCCAGAGUUUUGAGAACGCAGCGGACGUGGAGGACUAUAAUGUAACAAAAGCUCGUUCAAAUACUGAGGUGCUAAACCAUUCAGGGCUUUAUAAGUAAUAAGCAAGAUUUUAAAAUCUAUCCGAUGUUUGAUAGGGAGCCAGUGCAGUGUUGACAGAACCGGCCUAAUAUGGUCAUACUUCCUGGUUCUAGUAAGAACUCUAGCUGCUGCAUUUUGGACUAACUGGAGUUUGUUUACUAAGCGUGCAGAACAACCACCCAAUAAAGAAUUACAAUAAU
rnacentral:lncRNA from 1 species